CGGCGGGGAUUGCUGCAAGGGGCAUUGCUUUGUCUGCCGGGGACGUGCAGGUUCCGCCGCGGCUCUCCCGGGCCGCUGGAAGGCGCCUCAGCGGGGCCGAGCCCCGCGCCGCCGCGGCCCCGGGCCGAACCCCUGGGCCCCGCGGCCCCGGGCUGAGGCGAGGCGAAGCACCGGCCCCGGCCCCGGCCCCGCGGGUCUGGUGUGUGCACCUGCAGGAACGACGGGCAGGGGCUCGAGAAAGCCUACACCAAAUACAGGAUCAGCAAAAGUGUCCAGCUGGCUCAAGGCAAGUCUGCCUAGUGCAGUACCCUGUUCCUGGCAGGAGCCAGCACCAUGCCAGAAGGGUUGAAAAAGACAGAAAGAAUCCUGCAGCAUUCAGAAGCAACAUCUAUGCUGGCUUCUUGAUCUUUGGAAGCCCGAUAUUGAUCGAAGUCUGGGAGCAUGGAAUCUAACAUCUCUUUCACAGAAUGCACCAGAAAGUGGCUGUUCCACAGUAGGAAAGCUCUGAGGGCUGUGAUGGCAUCUCUGAAGGCAUCAGCUGAAUAUGUACCAGGUAGCUGCUCCGUCUAAAAUUCUAGGCAGCUGGAAACAACAGCAUGGAGAAGGCUGUCCCUCACUGAAGAGCCUAAUGGUGAGCAUUGGGCUAUCUACAUUAUUAAUGUUUUGAACAGAAAUAGCUAAUAAAUAUGCCCUGAGGCCCA
rnacentral:lncRNA from 1 species